UUGUUUCUUUUAUUUUAUUUUUUUCCUUUAAUUCUUGCUUCAACCAUUAUCACACAACAUCAACCUUGAUUCAUCAUCUCCAUCUUCAUCUUUGGUUCGUUAGUUUGACAGAGAGGAAUUAGUUCUUGGGCUUGCGGAUUCCGGGUCGAAAAUCGGAUCAAAGACCAGUCUUUUCGGGUCUUUUAUAGUGUAGUUUCAUCCUUAUUACUUCCCCUAAUCAAAUUGCGGGUUCGUAGAGGAACCUUUCUGACUCGAGAUUGAGUUUUGUUAGCUGUGGUUGCUGAUAAGAGACUUGAAGAUAGUUAGCUCCAG